AGAGUUUGAUCCUGGCUCAGAUUGAACGCUGGCGGCAUGCUUUACACAUGCAAGUCGAACGGCAGCGCGGGGCAACCUGGCGGCGAGUGGCGAACGGGUGAGUAAUAUAUCGGAACGUACCCAAGAGUGGGGGAUAACGUAGCGAAAGUUACGCUAAUACCGCAUACGAUCCAAGGAUGAAAGCAGGGGACCGCAAGGCCUUGUGCUCCUGGAGCGGCCGAUAUCUGAUUAGCUAGUUGGUGAGGUAAAGGCUCACCAAGGCGACGAUCAGUAGCUGGUCUGAGAGGACGACCAGCCACACUGGAACUGAGACACGGUCCAGACUCCUACGGGAGGCAGCAGUGGGGAAUUUUGGACAAUGGGCGCAAGCCUGAUCCAGCAAUGCCGCGUGAGUGAAGAAGGCCUUCGGGUUGUAAAGCUCUUUUGUCAGGGAAGAAACGGUGAGGGCUAAUAUCCCUUGCUAAUGACGGUACCUGAAGAAUAAGCACCGGCUAACUACGUGCCAGCAGCCGCGGUAAUACGUAGGGUGCAAGCGUUAAUCGGAAUUACUGGGCGUAAAGCGUGCGCAGGCGGUUUUGUAAGUCUGAUGUGAAAUCCCCGGGCUCAACCUGGGAAUUGCAUUGGAGACUGCAAGGCUAGAAUCUGGCAGAGGGGGGUAGAAUUCCACGUGUAGCAGUGAAAUGCGUAGAGAUGUGGAGGAACACCGAUGGCGAAGGCAGCCCCCUGGGUCAAGAUUGACGCUCAUGCACGAAAGCGUGGGGAGCAAACAGGAUUAGAUACCCUGGUAGUCCACGCCCUAAACGAUGUCUACUAGUUGUCGGGUUUUAAUUAACUUGGUAACGCAGCUAACGCGUGAAGUAGACCGCCUGGGGAGUACGGUCGCAAGAUUAAAACUCAAAGGAAUUGACGGGGACCCGCACAAGCGGUGGAUGAUGUGGAUUAAUUCGAUGCAACGCGAAAAACCUUACCUACCCUUGACAUGGCAGGAAUCCCGGAGAGAUCUGGGAGUGCUCGAAAGAGAACCUGCACACAGGUGCUGCAUGGCUGUCGUCAGCUCGUGUCGUGAGAUGUUGGGUUAAGUCCCGCAACGAGCGCAACCCUUGUCAUUAGUUGCUACGAAAGAGCACUCUAAUGAGACUGCCGGUGACAAACCGGAGGAAGGUGGGGAUGACGUCAAGUCCUCAUGGCCCUUAUGGGUAGGGCUUCACACGUCAUACAAUGGUACAUACAGAGGGCCGCCAACCCGCGAGGGGGAGCUAAUCCCAGAAAGUGUAUCGUAGUCCGGAUUGUAGUCUGCAACUCGACUACAUGAAGUUGGAAUCGCUAGUAAUCGCGGAUCAGCAUGUCGCGGUGAAUACGUUCCCGGGUCUUGUACACACCGCCCGUCACACCAUGGGAGCGGGUUUUACCAGAAGUAGGUAGCUUAACCGCAAGGAGGGCGCUUACCACGGUAGGAUUCGUGACUGGGGUGAAGUCGUAACAAGGUAACCA
rnacentral:rRNA from 1 species